ACUGGAAUCCCCUAACUUGGUCUGUUGCAACAGGGUCAUCAAUUGAUCAUAGUGAUGUCUGCUCAACCCUGGUAUCACAGAACUGUGACCAUCUAGUUGGCUGGCAGAAGGAUCCCCAAGAGGAACAGACAAAUUAGAAUUAUCAUUAUUAACAGACACACAUUCAACUCCAGUGGAAACAUGAGCAGCUGGAGAUUUCCUUCCCUUGUUGUAAUUAAUGCUUUGAGGGAACCCAUGUAUCUUCUACCACUUAUCAAUUAAGUGCCCAGACUUCUUGCAAUAUCUGCAGAACAGGGGCCCUCUGUUUUGCUCAAAAUUAAUUCUGGGUCUGAAAAUAGGAGGUCGAGGCACUGUGGCCUGAUGAGACCCAACUGAGUGCUUGUUUACAUGAGCAUUGAAAGACAUAGAAUCUGGACUAAUAUGAGAAGUAGAUUGAACUUGUCUUUGUUUCUCAUCAUUAAGCACUAUGUUGUAAACACUGUCAAGN
rnacentral:lncRNA from 1 species